GGAGAAUGAUAUAUAGAUAUAUAUAUAGAGAGAGUUCAGCUACUAUGCUAGCUAUUAAUAGCACGAAGUAUUUGGUGCUAUCAAGUUUUCCGCCGUUAGAUCUACCCUUUUGAUCAUUUUCACCCGUUAGAUCAUACUAUUCAACCAACCACCCACUCAACCUUAGGAGACCCACAUCAUCCUAACCGCACAUCUUUUAAUCCAACGGCCAAAAAUUUGAUAGCACCAAUGACUUGGUGCUAUUAAUAGUAUAUUAGCCUAUAUAGUUCUAUAUAUAUAUAGAGAGAGAGAGAGAGAGAGAGAGAACUAGGCUACUAUGCUAUUAAUAGCACCAAGUCAUUGGUGCUAUCAAGUUUUUGGCCAUUGCAUUAAGAGAUGUGUGGUUAGGAUGAUGUGGGCCCCCCUAGGGUUGAGUGGGUGGGUGGUUGGUUGAAUAGUAUGAUCUAACGGAUGAAAAUGAUCCAAAAGGUAGAUCCAACGGCGGAAAACUUGGUAGCACCAAGUCCUUCGUGCUAUUAAUAGCAUAGUAGCCGGACUCUAUAUAUAUAUAUAUAUAUAUAUAUAGAGCUAGUCUCCUAUACUAUUUACGGUACCGGGGCUUCGAUACUAUAGUAUCGUUUUUUAUUUAGGGUGUUCAAAUCAACGAUCCACGUCGUUAAAACUGAUCUAGAGUAUUUAAAGUUUUUAGAAAUAAAAUUUUAUAUUUUUUCGACAUAGUUUACUUUAUAAUCAAACCAUUUCAAAAUUGUCAAUUUUCAAUGGCUACUAUGGUGAGUUUGGAGUUUAACGGUGUAGAAGAAUUUAAAUUUCUUCAAAUUUUGAUAGAAAAUACUUUAAACUAUCUAGAUUAAGGUUAAGAUUUUUUAUCUUGAAUUUAAAAGUCCUAUACUAAAAUUUUAAAGAUUAUUCAAUUUUCACCGUCCAUUUUGACAUAAUUUAUGUACUAAGUAAAUGAUGUCGAAAAAAACUAAAAUUUUAUUCCUAAGAACUUUAUAUACCCUAAAUCAUAUUUAACGGUGUAGAUCGUUAAUUUGAACACCCUAAGAACGAAAACAAGACUAUAUAUAGUAUCGGAGCUCCGGUACUAUAGAUAGUAUAGUAGCCUAAUUCUAUAUAUAUAUAUAUAUAUAUAUAUAUAUAUAGAACUAGACUACUAUGCUAUUAAUAGCAAAGUCAUUUGCGCUACCAAGUUUUUGGCCAUUGGAUCAAGAGAUGUGCGAUUAGGAUGAUGUGGACCCCCUAGAGUUGAGUGGGUGGUUGGUUGAAUAGUAUGAUCUAAUGGGUAAAAAUGAUCAAAAGUGUAGAUCUAACGGCGGAAAACUAAUUGGUAGCACCAAGUGCUUCGUGCUAUUAAUAGCAUAGUAGCCGGACUCUCUCUCUCUCUCUCUCUCUCUCUCUAGAUCUCUCUCUCUCUCUCUCUCUCUCUCUCUC
rnacentral:lncRNA from 1 species